AUUGAACGCUGGCGGCAGGCCUAACACAUGCAAGUCGAGCGAGCGGCGGACGGGUGAGUAAUGUAUGGGGACUGCCCGAUAGCGGGGGAUAACUACUGGAAACGGUAGCUAAUACCGCAUACUAUCGGAUAACCCAUAUGGGAUUAGCUAGUGGGGGAGGAAAUGGCUCACCUAGGCGACGAUCGCUAGCUGGUCUGAGCGGAUGAUCAGCCACACUGGGACUGAGACACGGCCCAGACUCCUACGGAGGCAGCAGUGGGGAAUAUUGGACAAUGGGCGCAAGCCUGAUGCAGCCAUGCCGCGUGUAUGAAGAAGGCCCUCGGGUUGUAAAGUACUUUCAGUAGGGAGGCGUUACCGACAGAAGAAGUACCGGCUAACUCCGUGCCAGCCGCCGCGGUAAUUC
rnacentral:rRNA from 1 species